rnacentral:rRNA from 1 species
AUUCCAGCUCCAAUAGCGUAUAUUUAAGUUGUUGCAGUUAAAAAGCUCGUAGUUGGAUUUUGGUUAAGAGGGCGCGGUCGGCCGUUUGGUCUGUACUGCGUUGUCUUGACUUCCUGAUGAGGACAUGCUCUUGGUUAACGCUGAGACAUGGAGUCAUCGUGGUUACUUCGAAAAAAUUAGAGUGUUCAAAGCGGGCUUACGCUUGAAUAUAUUAGCAUGGAAUAACACUAUAGGACUCCUGUCCUAUCUCGUUGGUCUCGGGAUGGGAGUAAUGAUUAAGAGGAACAGUUGGGGGCAUUCGUAUUUCAUUGUCAGAGGUGAAAUUCUUGGAUUUAUGAAAGACGAACUUCUGCGAAAGCAUUUGCCAAGGAUGUUUUCAUCG